UCAAGGCCCAAUUUUAAUUAAGUCCACUAGAAAUAUUAAUAGGCCCUCCAGAACUUAUUUAACCAAGCCCAUGGAGAUUUAAUAGGCUAAAAAAAAUUAUUACAAGCCCAAUUAUAAUUAUCAUCAUCUCUAUUUAAUAAGUUAAACCUUAUACAAUAUAAAUUAAAUCUUCCUUCAUUACGUAUCUCCUCUUUCUUCAUUCCCUACCGCUUCUCUCUGUCUCUCUCUUUCCCGGCGAGCGUCGCCGGCCUCCGCCGCCUCCGGCGCGGCGAGGUCGGCCUCUUCUCUUUCACCUUUUUUUCUUUCUUUCUUUCUUUCCCUUUUCCUGAAUCUGAAAUAGAUCUAGGGUUUUCUUUAUUUCCUGAAUUUGAAAUAGAUCUAGGGUUUCUACCUCUCUUCCUCCCCUCUGGAAUUCGUCUCUCCGGCGAGGUUUGCCUCCACCGCCGUCGUCUUUGUCGUGCCGCCGCGUCCUCUGUUUCAGGAAUCGGUGAUUCAAGAUGAGUUGAGAUGGUUUCAUCGGCAGUUCAUCUACAGCCCAAGACUCCCUUUUUAAAGACUCAGCCUUCUAUUUGGAUUAUUAUUGAUUUUUAAAGACUCAGCCUUCUAUUUGGAUUAUUAUUGAUUUAUAAACUGUUGUAACUAGAUGUAUUCUGUAAAUGUUAAAGGAAAUUGAUAUUAUCUCUGCUAUUUUUGAUUA